AGCCUGUAAUGCAGUGGUUGUCAAUUGUUGAAGUGUUACAUAUUUUUUUUUUCUUCAUUUUUUGUACAUAAAUUAGGCCGUUAGUUUUCUUGUUUUACAUUUGUCAUUUUGGGGCCUUUUAUAGCUGACUAUGCAGUAUGGGCUUUGCUCAUUGUUGAAGAGGGUACAGUGACCUUUAGUUUUUAAUUUCUGUGUCAUUUGGUCUCUUGUGGAAAGUUGUCUCAUUGACAAUCAUACCACAUCUUCUUUAUAUAUAAAGUUAAGUACAACAUUUAAAAGUGUUGACAAUGGUUGAUGUUAAUUACAUUAUAUUAGAUUUUCUUGAGGAGAAUAACUAAAAUAUAUGAUUUUAUUAGGGCUUGGAUCCCACUAACAUGUUUAAUCCUGCUAUCUUCUGUGCCUGUCCCAAGUCAGGAACCUGGACAAUCAGUGGUUGUUGUUUGUUGCUGUGUUGCAUAUUUGUUUUUAGUUAUUUUAUUUGUAUAUUAAUAUUAAGGUCAUUAGUUUGGAAUUAUUUUACAAUUGUAAUUUCAGGGCCUUUUUUAUAUAUGACUAUGCAGUAUGAUCAUUGCUGAAGGCUGUACUUUGACCUAUAUAUAUAGUUAACUGACCGACGGAGGGACAGGUGUAAAACAAUAUGCCUGUCAACUUUUUCUUACAAUUUCAUACAUUUCCCAUAUCAUUGACUAUUUUAUCAUUACUUACAUCUGUCCAUUAUUAUACUGUCUUUUAGGUCACAUUGCAUUUCAAGCUGAUGUUCAAUACUUGCACAGUUGUACACCUAGAAA
rnacentral:lncRNA from 1 species